GGGAAUUCGACCCCAUGGAUCUCAAUAACCCGCUAUCUAGCAAUGCUGGAUCAGUACACUUGUGGCAUGGUGCAGAGGAUCUAAUUGUGCCGGUGACCCUGUCGCGAUACAUCAGUCAAAAGCUUCCUUGGAUUCACUACCAUGAGGUCCCGGACGGUGGCCACUUGUUUGCAAUAGCAGAUGGCAUGGGUGAUAGAAUUGUCAAGGCCCUUAUAAGGGAUCCAUGAAUUCACUUGAAUCUAAACUGAAGUUCCCGCACACAUCACUUCAUGAUUUUAGUAAACAUAAGAGGCUUCUCUUGAUCUCUAUCUAUCGUAUGUACACGACUUUUUUAGAAUUUUGAAGUGC
rnacentral:misc_RNA from 1 species